UACGAAGGGGGCUAGCGUUGCUCGGAAUCACUGGGCGUAAAGGGUGCGUAGGCGGGUCUUUAAGUCAGGGGUGAAAUCCUGGAGCUCAACUCCAGAACUGCCUUUGAUACUGAGGAUCUUGAGUUCGGGAGAGGUGAGUGGAACUGCGAGUGUAGAGGUGAAAUUCGUAGAUAUUCGCAAGAACACCAGUGGCGAAGGCGGCUCACUGGCCCGAUACUGACGCUCAGGCACGAAAGCAUGGGGAUCAAACAGG
rnacentral:rRNA from 1 species